UAUAGUAAUCUCUACACCCAACGUGCGGCUCGAACUCAUAACCUCAAGAUCUACAGUUGCAUGCUCCUCCAACUGAGCCAGUCAGCCACCCCUGUUUCUGCUUUCAGUGUGUUUAUUCAUUUGUUUUGUUUCUUAGAUUCUACAUAGGAUCCACCCACCAUGCCUCCUUCCCACUAUGACUCUAUGGCCACAUCUACUGCUGGCACUCUACUGAGAAUUUCCUCUGGUUCCCUGGUAUGAAUUCCAAAGUACAGGCUUUGCUUGAGAGAUUCAGAACACAAUCGUGAGUUUUCCUUUUUUAUUUACCCCACACAAUUUUUUAUUAAAACAAUUAAACCUGAAAAGGCGCAACCAAGAAAGCAAGUAAUUGUUUUCUUACAAGUUUUAAUUUAAAAACAUGCCAAAUACAUUUGUGUAUGUGGCGCCUUAAUCCUUCUCAUUUCUUUGAUAAUUUUAUACUUGGACCACUUUCAUAAUUUGUAAAAAAAUUCAGCCUGAAUUCUAUCAUUGGGUCAAAAAUCAGAGGAUUUGUGUGUUUUCAGUACCUGGUGGUAACCUUUUCUCUCUGCCAGACGAAAUAUGUUCUACUUGCUGAGGCUGAAAGAAUGGACUACUUUUCAAUCUCUGGCAAGUAAAUUAGAAAGGUCCAUGAAAUUCCCACUACACCCUUAAUCUGAUUUUCUCUGCAUUAUUUCUUUCAAUUAAGAAAAGAGAAAGAAAGAAAAAACAGCUUGUGAAGAUCUCCAUACUAAGAGUAGAAAAAUUCUGUGAUUAGUUUCCGUAAGUAAAGAAGGUACUUUCCCCUAUGUUCUUAGAGAAAAUUGAUGUGGCUUUCUCCCCAUUCCAUUAACACUUCCCUAAGCGCAGGCUGGAAUGGAAUCAAGGGAUUCCUGGAUAAGAAGCUAAUGGAGUCCAUACAAGAAGUUUGCCACUUCCCUAGAUUUCCACUUAACUGAGUAAAAAAUAUUCAAAAAGAAAUAUUAGAAACUCAUAGUGGAAAGUAUGAAAGGGUGGCUGCAAUUUACCAGACAGUUUGUCAGUGACUCUCAAGUGAAGGAUAGACUAAUUUGAAUCAGGGCUCUCCACUUGCAGACUGGGAAGUCAAGGGGGGAGGGUUCUUGGUAGCUCCUCCUCCCAAUUCCUCAUUUAGGAGGGUUUGUGGUGUGAUGGGCUGGCACAGGGCAGUGAGAUAAGGGCAUGUCCCUGAGUGUGGCAUGUCACACUCAGUGGGGCCACGUCUGGUUUUGUUCCUGGCCUGUGCUAAACACAGACAUCUGUCCCAGGCACAGAGCCUCAUCCGGCUCCUCAAGAAGAUGACCAUGCCAAACAAAGAAAUCGAGGCAUCGUUGCAGCUAAUUUCUGGCUGCCCAACAAACACAGUCUUCCUGCCGUGACCACCUCUGGCCUUAGUGACCCAGGCUGUUCAGUGUUUAUGCUCUGAAUGGAAAAUUACAUUAAAUCCAAAACUCUCACUUCACUUUUUAUCUGGAUCUGAAAGAUUUGGAUAGACAUCCAAAUAAUCUUUGACAAAAUCCAUCUCAAUUCCCAGAGUUGAACAAGAACAGAUGCCACAUUAAGGAUAAGCAAACAGGCAAAAUCCAUUAGUUGUUUGAAAAGAUAUUGCUGUUUAAAAAGAGGGGGCUGUGCAAAAGAACCAGAGCUGAUGUCUUCUUAUGAACUGUAGUUACUGUUCAAAAUAGAGGGGAUGUUUUCAAGUUUUUAAUCUGUGAUUUUAACAUGGUGAGUGUUAAAGAAAUAAGCAAGAUUGGGGUGGGGGAUGCCUGGCUGUCUCGCUAGGUGGAGCAUGUGAUUCUUGAUCUUUGGAUGGUAAGUUUGAGCCUCACAUUGGGUGUAGAGAUUACUGAAAAUAAAUAAAUACACAAAUAAGCUGUAAAAAAAAAGAAAUAAGCAAGGAGGUCAUGAAGAACAAUGGGAGUUCAGAAAAGAGAGUGUAGAAGAAAAACCUAAAUGAAGAUCAGAUUUGCUGUUGCAGAACAUUCAGUCAAUGAAGUAAGUGAUAACUCCUGGAAUUCAUCCAAGUUUCAGAGGCAAGGAAUAAGGAAAUUAAAAAAAAUGUGAAAAAAAUUUAAAAGAUAAGUAAUGAAGGACUGAGUUAAGGAGAUCUAAUAUACCUAUGAUAGAAAUUCUAGAAAAAGAGAACAGAGUGGAUGUAGAAAAAGAAGUAAUCAGGAAAUAAAGAGGUUAGGAAAUUUUCUGGAGUUGAACAAAUCAAAUACUAAGUAUCUUCAGAUUAAAAGGGGUCAAUAAAUUCUGGUAAAAUUAAACAAGAUAAACACCUAGACAUAUGCUGGAAAGUAUUUUGACUUUCAAGGAUAUUUAAAAAAUCUAUACAUAUUCAGGCAUUAAAAAAAGCUUAUAGAGAAAAUGUACUAAAUUACUGGCUAUUUAGAAAGAAAAAUGAUUGCAUUAGGUUCCUACUUCAUAACUUACCAUAAAAGAUUAUAAAGAUAUAAAUGAGUAUAUAAUACAGCCCUAAGUAAAGCCUUUUAAAGCCAAAGUCAGAAACCAGAGGAGAGCAUUGAUAGAUUUAGUUACCUAAGAAUUAAAAAUAUCUGUAUAUCAUAAUUAUUACAUACAAAAUAUGAAAAGCAAAUUAAAACAAAAUAUUCAUAGGCUGUGUAACAAAAGUUUUAAAACUGGGCUAGAGAAGGUGCCAAUAAUAAAUAUUUGUUGAACACAUGAUCAGUAAGUGAAAACUGAAAGCAUCCUUCUGAAACAUUAAGACACCAAAGCCCUGGAGAUGCAGACAAAGGACAUGAAUGGGGGAAUUCACAAAAGGAAUACAAAUGGGCAACAUACAUAUAAAGAAUCCAGUCUCAUUAGAAUAAAAUCAGUCUAAUCAAGAUGUCACCAUUUUUAACUAAUUAAGAUGGCAAAUAUUAGAAAUAAUCCUAAUACUUUAAUCCCGCAGAUCCACAUAUUCUCAUACCCCAGAUGACAGCGUAAAUGGCAUGCUCUUUCAGGAUAUCAAUUUGCAAAUAUGGAUAGAUGUAGAAAAAUUUGCAGGAUUUCCAUAAUCUUUC